UACGUAGGUGGCGAGCGUUGUCCGGAUUUAUUGGGUUUAAAGGGUGCGUAGGCGGUCCUAUAAGUCAGUGCUGAAAUAUCCCGGCUUAACCGGGAGGGUGGCAUUGAUACUGCAGGACUUGAGUAAAGUUGAGGUAGGCGGAAUUGACGGUGUAGCGGUGAAAUGCUUAGAUAUCGUCAAGAACACCGAUAGUGCAGACAGCUUACUAAGCUUUAACUGACGCUGAGGCACGAAAGUGUGGGGAUCAAACAGG
rnacentral:rRNA from 1 species